GUGUUAGACAUGAAAAAAACCUGAAAAUAUAUGUCAAAGUUCAAUCUUAGGUUCCACAGUAGAGAUUCUAUUUGCAGCAGUAAUUGGAGAAGUUGCGUAUCUUACACCUCUGGAAUAAUGGCUGACAAUCGUUUACGUCUCAGCCUUAGAAAGACCUAGUCUCCUCUCCUUCCCUGAGCCUGAUGGCUUUACAAAAGUGGUUGAGUUUUCUGGUUUCUGAUAACUUUGAAGAUUGUGACACUAGAAUAGAAGAAACAACUUUCAGAACUCUCGUGGAAAACUGGAAUGUUCAUGAAUAUUAAACAGAACAGGAGUUAACUGCAUGGACUGAACUACAGAAGCUAUUCACAGCUUGAAGCAAUUAAGUAAAGUAUACUCCUAUAAACAAAAUUUGGAGCAUAUUUGUUUCUCUCUACCUAAUUUCUCCAGAAUUUGGAAACUAUUUAUGAGCCAUGUGAUGUCAGAAGUGUGAUGUGCCAUGCUCCACUACAGACAGGAAGUGGAAUAGCCAGGAACUUGAAUCCAAGCCUUCUUAUGCCAAAAUUCUCCUUUGAUACGUGAAGGCAGCCUCAUCACUCCAAAGACCAAUAUCUUCUUGCAUCUCUUCCUCGAAUAAUGGUUUUCCAAGCUUCCAUGUUUAUAGACUUGGCCCCUCUCCACGGUCC
rnacentral:lncRNA from 1 species